rnacentral:rRNA from 1 species
GGCACGCGAGCUGGGUUCAGAACGUCGUGAGACAGUUCGGUCCCUAUCCAUCGUGGGCGUAGGAUAUUUGAGAGGAUCUGCCCCUAGUACGAGAGGACCAGGGUGGACGAACCUACUGUGCACCAGUUGUCACGCCAGUGGCACAGCUGGGUAGCGGAGUUCGGAUGGGAUAAACGCUGAAGGCAUCUAAGCGUGAAACCCACCUCAAGAUAAGAUAUCCCAUAUCGAAAGAUAGUAAGACCCCUUGAAGACUACAAGGUUGAUAGGUCGGAGGUGUACAUACAGUUAAUGUAUUUAGCUGACCGAUACUAAUAGGUCGAGGGCUUGAUCAG